rnacentral:rRNA from 1 species
CGACCGGCGCACGGGUGAGUAACGCGUAUGCAACCUGCCCGGUUUCAGCCGGGAUAACCCGGAGAAAUCCGGCCUAAUACCGCAUGUGGCCGACGGGGAGGCAUCUUCUUUCGGCCAAAGGAGGCAACUCCGGAGACGGAUGGGCAUGCGUGACAUUAGCUUGUUGGCGGGGUAACGGCCCACCAAGGCGACGAUGUCUAGGGGUUCUGAGAGGAAGGUACCCCCACACUGGUACUGAGACACGGGCCAGACUCCUACGGAAGGCAGCAG